UACUUGUCAUGUUAUCGCCCUCAGCACAGCCCUUGGCUGCCUGCAGCAUCCUGUGCGCGCCGCACAAAAACACCCUGACGUCACGUCUCCGGCUCUGCCAAGGGGCAAGGAGCCGGCUGCAGCCCUCGGGUUCAGCCGGGGGGAUCUCGGGAACGAUCCCAAAGCCGAAGCUUUCCCCUGGCCGCGCUCCCAGGACCGCGCCGGGGAGGGUGCCCCCGGAGCCGCUGCCCCUCCGCCGCGCUCCGGGCUUCGGGGUUGGGGUUGUAGAAAGCUGCAGAUCUCGUCGGGAGGAUUGGCAGUGGUGUGGGGUGGGAGGAAAUAACUGCUUGAGGCAGUAACAAGUGGCUUAAAAAUGGUAUCGGAGUGCUGCCGGGGGGGGAUCUGGCCACAGCAGCACCUCCCUGUGCUCCCAGAAAGCAGAGGCAGCCGGAGCAGGGCACUCACCGAGCACUGCUGGGAUUUAUCCCCUUAUCCCCGCCUCCGCCACCCUCCUAAUUCCUGUGAAAUGUGGCGAUCCCAUUCUGUGUUAAGCAGGAGACGUGACCCCGAUGCUGCCCGGCUCGCCGGGACCCCCGAAACCAUUUUACUGCUGCUUGGAGGACGCUGAAACGCCGUGGCUCAGCGGCGAGCACCCGACUGCCUUGUGCCGGCUCCACCCGCAGCGAAAAAUAAAAACUUAUUCCCUUCUCCCCUUUUUUUUUUUUUUUUGGGCAGGGGAGAGGGCACAACCGGGAGCAAGGUUUUGGCUGCCGAGCCCUUUGAGGCAGCUCACAGCAGGGCUCGACGAGAGCGAACGCAAGGAAAAAGAGAGGGGAAAGCCGGCUUUGUUUGGUGGCAGCAGGCUACGAGCACGGUGCAGCCGUCCUGGGAAACAAACCCGCUGUUCCCUCGUUCCCCAUCCCCUCCAUCCGUGUGUGCCCGGGGUUUUUAAGGUGCCGGGGCAGCGUGGUUUCGCAGUGCCUGGCAUCGAUCCUGACCCUGUUGCAGAGAGGCCGUGGAGAGGAGGGGAGCUGCGGCGAGGUGAGAGGAGAGCGGGUCCCGCGGGGAACGGGGCUCGUCCGAAACUCCUGCUCUGGAUGAGACACAAGAGGGACCCCAAAAGGCCAAGACAACCCCCUCUGCUUGGGGUUUUGACCCAGACGAGGCAAUUCCAGCAGCUCCUUUUGGGGCAGAGGACCGGGAUCACAAGGGCCCAGGCGUUUCACUGCCAUCGCGGAGAGGAGGAGACGCCGCUCUCAGGGGGGAAAGGCGUUUUGUUGCGCUAACCCGGAGUGACUAAUCCCCCGCGUGUGUCUCCCAAGCUGAACCGAGGGCUUUGAUGUGUCACUGAGCAUCAUUCCCCCACCCCGCCCUCUGCUUUUCCACUCCUCAACAGAAAAGAUGAAUCACAGCGACCGUUCGCCCUUCCUUGAAAUGCACAUCUCUCUCUUUUUUUUUUCUUUUUUUCCCCUUUUAAACAAACAGGCGGCUUCCACUCCAGCGACAGUGACAAACGCCACACCAGGAGGGAGGACGAGCUCGGGGCUUUGCUUUCUCCACCCCCGAGCACCUGCCCAACCUGUCCCCAAGCUGCAUCCCCCAAAUUCUCACUAUUCAUUCGGCACAAGGGAAUGCAGAGCCCUCUUUUGAAGAGCUGGUAACGCAGACGGGGCAAUAUCGAGGCACCGCUUGUGGCACCCAGAGAGGAAGCGCUCAGCCCGGCAGCUCCUUUUCAGAAAGGACCAGUUGCUUUAGGAUGAAGCCCAGCCACUAUUUAGCCCACCGGCAUCCCUACCCAACACGAUGCGUCCUGGAGAGCGAGCAAACGGCCCGCGGGCAGGGAAAACACGGGCGAAAAGAGGAAGCCAAGAUAAAAUAAACCGAGCCAAAAUAAAAUAAACCAAGCCACGCUUCGGGCGCAGCCCGUUCUGCGGGGCCGAGAGAACCUCCCAGCUGCGGGAUGCUCCCGGUGAGCCAGCCACGGAGCAGCCCCCUUGAAACAAAGGUGUGGGAGGGGAUCGUUCCCUUAAAAUCCCGUUAGGGAGGCUGAGCCCUGCUUAAAAGGCACGCGCUCGGUCACGCAGCGCCGCCGGCCGAUGGUGCUUACCCUGUCCCGGGACAGCGGCGCGGUGCAGGGAGCGGGGAGCAGCCCCCGGCUAAGAAAAGUGCAGAGGAAAGGUAAAAAAAAAAAAAAAAAAGAGGAAUUUUACCUGCGGGGAUGCGGCACCGCGGAGCGGUUCGGCCCUGUUGCCACAGUAACCCUCCUGGUGCAGCCGAGAUCGCUGAUUAUGAAACUAGAAAAAUCAGAGGCUGCUAAUUAAGGGUGUGCCCCAGCGCCGAGCUGGCUCCGCGCGAGCGCCGCGACGCCACCGAGCGCGGCACAGCGUGGCAGCCUGCCCGUGAAAGAGCUUUUGGGGCAGUUUUACACCUUUCCGCAUCACCCCCUGCACAUUCAGCUCGUUUUGUUUGCCAUUAAACCGGAUGAACGAGACUCAGCGGAGCAGCCCUUACGUGCACGCGCACCCAGCUCACCCUCCAAGCAAGCAGGGUACCAGAGCGCACCGCAAAACCCAUGAAAAAUGCCUCGAUGGCUAUUUCCAGAGCUGCAAAACCAGAGAGAUGCCGCUUUACCGUGUCAGCCCAACCAAACGCUGGGGUUUUGAUGCUGCUGAGCUGAAAUUUGCCGCGCCCCGAGCUCGCCGAGCCCCCUGCACCGUCCCAGCAGUGCCGCAGCGGCUCCGGGCUGGAGCUCUGUGCCCUCCUGCACUGACACGGGGGAUUUGAGCUGAACAUUUUGGUCUUAUUGGAGGCCUUGUUUCUGACCCUUUAAUAGACUUUCUUUACGGGAAUUAGUCUUUUAAUGCUGCGUGCCCGUGUAUGUAGCAUGAUAAGCUGUUCUGGUGCAACCACGGAGCGAACAUCUGCUGUGGUGAGCAAUUAACCAACUUACUGCCAAUUAGGGGCACGGCAGGUAGGAGCAGCGCAGGCAGCGGGGCAGGAAGGCUGUCCCAGGAGGAGAGAGGUCCCGAUGCUCACUCUGACACCUUUCUCCUGAAAUAAACAUUUUUGUACGGCC